GUUUCAAAAAAGAAAAACAACAUUAAUUCCACUGAAUAACUUUUACUUUAUUUAGGUGAACCAGAAAAAAUUCGACCCCCGAACGAAAAUGUUAGCAGUGCACUAUUAGAACUACAAUCUCGAAAGAAAAGGCGUGUUCAAUUUAAUGAAAUAGAAGAAGAAUGCGAAUUUCAAAACGAAACGGAGGAAAAGGCUGAUACUGGAUUGACGGAGCAGGUUGAAAUUCUGGA